UAUUUUAGCGAAAAAAUGAGA
rnacentral:piRNA from 1 species